UACGGAAGGGGGCUAGCGUUGCUCGGAAUCACUGGGCGUAAAGGGUGCGUAGGCGGGUUUUUAAGUCAGAGGUGAAAUCCUGGAGCUCAACUCCAGAACUGCCUUUGAUACUGAAAGUCUUGAGUAUGGGAGAGGUGAGUGGAACUGCGAGUGUAGAGGUGAAAUUCGUAGAUAUUCGCAAGAACACCAGUGGCGAAGGCGGCUCACUGGCCCAUAACUGACGCUGAGGCACGAAAGCGUGGGGAGCAAACAGGG
rnacentral:rRNA from 1 species